rfam:Brassica napus, WGS project CCCW01000000 data, contig: 24
UUUGAGGGGAAUGUUGUCUGGCACGAGGCCCUUAACACAGAUCUACGAUCGGUUAUAUAUAUAAUAUAUGAACGAUCAAUUUAGUGGUUGAUGACGUCGGACCAGGCUUCAUUCCCCUCAAU